GGAAACUAAUAUACAAGAUAGACAUAUUAAAUGCAAAGCAAGAUAGUUCAAGCUGUGAUUUGUCAUAAGUGCAAUGAUUAUGGCUUACAGCUCAUGAAAACCUCAAAUCCACAAUCUCAGCAAAUUAGAAUAUUGUGAAAAGGUGCAAUAUUCUAGGCUCUCAGUCUCCCACUCUAAUCAGCUAAGUAAGCCAUGUUACGGUUACCUCCAGGCUAGCUGGAG